rnacentral:lncRNA from 1 species
GAGUUUACUCCGUGGACACAGUCUCAAGAUAAUUUACCUUGUGAUCUGUGAACAGUGGCUGACGACAGCAGCACUGGGGGCCUGGCGCUUUCCUUGUGCCUCGAGGUUGUAACGGCCCUGUUUGUGCUGGGUUUAGGAAGUCGGAAGAAGUGCCCAUGCUUCUGUGUGGGGCAGGUUUUCAUUUUGUACGAGUCCUUCCCCUGGGAUGGAACGUGGCAUAAAAUCUGAGUUAUCAUUAGCAUUUAAAUGUAAUUGAAGCCUGUACAGCUUGGGGAAAAAAUUCUUAAGGUAUGGACGACAAGGGUGACCCGAGCAGUGAGGAGGCGCCCAAAGCCAUCAAGCCCACCAGCAAGGAGUUCCGGAAGACAUGGGGCUUCCGGAGGACCACCAUUGCUAAGCGUGAGGGUGCCGGGGAUGCGGAGGCGGACACCUUGGAGCCGUCGCCCCGGCAGCAGCAAAGUCCAUCUCUGCGGCGCAGUGGGCGGCAGCCGAAGCGCACUGAGCGGGUGGAGGAGUUUCUGACCACUGUGCGGCGCCGUGGCCGUCGGAGUGCCCCCGUGUCCCUGGAGGACUCUGGGGAGCCAGCAUCCUGUCCAGCGACAGACGCGGAGACCGCCUCUGAAGGCAGUGUGGAGAGCGCCUCGGACGGAAAGAGUGGGCCCAGGUCCAGCUCCACGGGUGCUAAGCAGCGGCCGGCCUCCUCGGCAAAGGCUAGAGAGGGCGAAGACGAGGACGACACGUCCGACAGCGAUAGCGACGGACUGACCUUGAAGGAACUCCAGAACCGCCUGCGGAAGAAGCGUGAGCAGGAGCCCGCGGACCGGCCCGCAAGGGGCAUCCAGAACCGCCUGCGGAGGAAACGGCGGGAGGAGGACCCGGCUGAGACCGUGGACGUCCAGGCGGGUGAUGCGAUGGAGGGCUCGCUGCCCACCUCACGGGAGCCUGAGGGCGACCUGGGGGCUGCUGCCCAGGCAGUGAAAGAGGACAGAGAGGGCCGGCCGGAUGGGAGAGUGGCCCCGGGAGGGAGAGCCGAGGAAGCCGCAGACUUGGUCCGGCACAAGCCGGAGUGUGAGGUGUACGACCCCAGCGCCCUGUACUGCCUGUGCCGCCAGCCUCACAACAACAGGUUUAUGAUUUGCUGUGACCGGUGUGAAGAAUGGUUUCAUGGUGACUGUGUGGGCAUUUCUGAGGCUCGAGGGCGGCUCUUGGAGAGGAAUGGGGAAGACUACAUCUGCCCCAACUGCACGAUCCUGCAGGUGCAAGAUGAGGCCAGCUCAGAAGCCACAGACAUGCAGGACACGAGGUCAGGACCCCUGGGUGCCGACAGCACGGACUUCACCAGUAUAGGAACCGUGGAGCAGAAGUCAAGUGAAGACCAGGGAAUUAAGGGUAGAAUUGAAAAAGCUGCAAACCCAAGUGGCAAGAAGAAACUCAAGAUAUUCCAGCCCGUCGUGGAAGCACCUGGUGCUGCCAAGUGCAUCGGCCCUGGGUGCUCGAGCGUGGCACAGCCCGACUCGGUCUACUGCAGCAACGACUGCAUCCUGAAGCACGCCGCGGCCACCAUGCGCUUCCUGAGUGCAGGGAAGGAGCAGAAACCCAAAGCAAAAGAAAAGCUCAAGACAAAGCCAGAAAAAAUCGUUCUUCAAAAAUGUAGCGUUCAAGCAGGCAUUAAAAUCUCUUCUGUGCACAAGAGACUGGCUUCAGACAAGAAGGAAAACGCGGUGAAGAAGGCAGCAGUGGCCCCUCCCAGGAAUGAGGUCCUCAGUAAGGAGCCAGUCUGUGAGAGCAGCACGCCGUCCUGGGCCAGCGACCACAAUUACAAUGCAGUAAAGCCAGAACAGACUGCUGCCCCCUGGCCGCCACUGUUGUAUAAAUGUAUGUAUCACCCAGGGGGAGCUCUGGACCCUUCCUGGUCUUUCUGGACGGCCGUGCACUGGGCCUGUUCAGAGCUAGGAGUUCUAGCCAUGUGUGGU